rnacentral:rRNA from 1 species
UACGUAGGGUGCGAGCGUUGUCCGGAAUUAUUGGGCGUAAAGAGCUCGUAGGCGGUCUGUCGCGUCGAUCGUGAAAACUUGGGGCUUAACCCUGAGCUUGCGGUCGAUACGGGCAUGACUGGAGUUCGGCAGGGGAGACUGGAAUUCCUGGUGUAGCGGUGAAAUGCGCAGAUAUCUGGAGGAACACCGGUGGCGAAGGCGGCAUCCUGGACCAUUAUUGACGCUGAGGAGCGAAAGCCAGGGGAGCAAACGGG